rnacentral:rRNA from 1 species
AGAGUUUGAUCAUGGCUCAGGAUGAACGCUGGCGGCGUGCUUAACACAUGCAAGUCGAACGCACCUUCGGGUGAGUGGCGGACGGGUGAGUAACGCGUGAGAAUCUGCCCCAAGGAGGGGGAUAACGGCUGGAAACGGCCGCUAAUACCCCAUAUGCCGUGAGGUGAAAUGAGUUUUCGCCUUGGGAUGAGCUCGCGUCUGAUUAGCUAGUUGGUGGGGUAAAGGCCUACCAAGGCAUCGAUCAGUAGCUGGUCUGAGGGGAUGAUCAGCCACACUGGGACUGAGACACGGCCCAGACUCCUACGGGAGGCAGCAGUGGGGAAUUUUCCGCAAUGGGCGAAAGCCUGACGGAGCAACGCCGCGUGAGGGAUGAAGGCCUCUGGGCUGUAAACCUCUUUUCUCAAGGAAGAAGAACUGACGGUACUUGAGGAAUAAGCCACGGCUAAUUCCGUGCCAGCAGCCGCGGUAAUACGGGAGUGGCAAGCGUUAUCCGGAAUUAUUGGGCGUAAAGCGUCCGCAGGCGGCCUUUUAAGUCUGUUGUCAAAGCGUGGAGCUUAACUCCAUUUGAGCAAUGGAAACUGGGAGGCUUGAGUGUGGUAGGGGCA